AGUAUGUGUGUGUGCAUGCAAGUAUAGGGCUGUAGAGAUUCUGUGUGUGUUAAGGGCUGCAAUGUAUGUGUAUUGGGGUUGCAUUGUGUGGGUGUGUAGGGGUUUUAAUGUUGAAGUAUAAUGGGUAUUAUGUAUGUCUGGGGGUUGCACUAUGUUUGCUGUGGGGUGUAUAGUGUGCACGCUCAUUGCUCUGUGUUUCGGUGUCAAAUAGAGGCUUUAAUAAUCGACUAACUUUUUUUAAAAAUGAUAUCCUCCUUGUUCUUCUUUUGGAGGGGAGCAUUCCGCGGGCUGCCUAUCCCCCGGGUGCAGCAAGGGGGCCAGGAAAUUUAUCUUUUG